GGAACUGCCUUCUUUGCUUCAACCUGAGAAUCAAAUGCUUAAUAAUGAAAAUUCAACACCAUAUUUCCAUGUUUAGAAUAGUUCAAAGUUUCUAUCUCCUAAAUUAUAAUGCAAUUAAGAACUAAACAAGGCCUGUAAAAUAUGUGAAAUUACCAAAAAAGUGAGCAUUGAACCUGAAAAUUGAGAAACUGGAUCAAAAUUCAUGUCUGCACAGCCUUUUCCUCUUGAACAUUACAGUAAUUUUUCAUUAAUGGAAUUAGGGAUCACAGAGCUGAAUGGUAAUGAAGUUGAAGCUUAUAUGUGAAGUGAGUGAGUAUUAACAGCUUCAUAUUUUAUUCAAAAAAUUUAUCAAUGAUUUUUAACAUGAACCAAGUUGCACAGACGAAACAGAUAUAUAAAAUCUCUUCAACUACUUUGGGAUUAAGAUUUAGUUGAAUUUGAAAUUGAUCACAUUGCUUAUGCCACAUAUACUUGUAAAAAGCAGCAUAGAGUUUUCCAGCAGCCCAACAAUGAAUUAAGUGAUCCAUGGGGCAGUGACCAUUUAGUGCUUUAACUCUCAAGAUAAUAAAAGUUAUGGCCAGCCAAACAAAAUUAUGUUAUACAAAACUAUAGCUGAUGAAUAUUGUCCUUAUCUAUCUUCCCCUUCCUCAAUUUUCAAACAAAUUUAAUUGCAGUUUCCAUUAGCAUCAUUCUACUGAUUGAGAUUAAUUAGAGUCUUCUUCAUCGAUACAUAACUACACCAUCCAACUAAAUUGACUAUUGAGGAAGCCACCUCUAACAUCAAAUAGCACGGUUUCUUUCCUUCUAAAACAAAAUCUGUCAAUUCUAAAAAUGGAAUCCAUUCUGUCAUUGAAAUUUUGAUUUCUG
rnacentral:misc_RNA from 1 species